rnacentral:rRNA from 1 species
UACGAAUGGGGCAAGCGUUGUUCGGAAUCACUGGGCUUAAGCGUGCGCAGGCGGACUUGAAAGUCAGGAGUGAAAUCCCGGGGCUCAACCCCGGAAUUGCUCUUGAAACUCCAAGUCUAGAAUCCUGGAGAGGUCGGGAGAAUUCCUAGUGUAGAGGUGAAAUUCGCAGAUAUUAGGAGGAAUACCAGUGGCGUAGGCGCCCGACUGGACAGGCAUUGACGCUCAGGCACGAAAGCGUGGGGAUUAAACAGG